rnacentral:lncRNA from 1 species
UCACAAUCCAGUGUUUGUGGGCUCGGCGUGAUGUCAGAGGCUCAGCCGUGUGACUUCACUCGCGGGCUCAGGCAGAAGGUGCAGACGGGGCUGAGAGAGGAGAAAAAAGCCCCCUCCUCUUCCCUUCCCCCCCACCCCCCUCCACCCUCUUGGUUUAUAAAACCAGUAGCUGAGAAAAAUGGGAAGGGGGUGGGGAGAAGCAGCAGGGAAAGCUGAGAAAGAUGCCAGAAAGGAAUUGGGCUCUAGGACUUAACACUAUGGCUUAUGGAGAUGCUUCUUGUGUCUGGAGGAGAGCCACUUCCAAGCGAUGCACCCGAGACAUGACAAUCAGUAGGUUAAGAAUCCAUGCUCUUCCUAAAAUACUUUCCAUCAAGUGCACAGAUCCUUUGAAUGUCUUAAGGGGAAAGUUCAAUAGCAGAGAAUUAAUGAGAGGAGAGCCCUCCCUGUCUUUGCUGCAGUACCUUGUGAGAUGUGUGAUACUGCUUCUCCCUCCUGUAGCGUCAGAUGUAACACUUUUUUAUCUGAAGUAACUGUAAAAGAAACAGGAGGAAGGUAUGGGAAAUCCUGGGGCUGGAUGGGAAAAGAGGCAGGAAAUGUUAAUGAAUGCAGCCAUGCCGAUGUCUUUCUUGGAGAAGGAGAAACAGGCUAGCAGCCCUUGCUUUACACUUGCUUAAAGAUUUAGCUGUCCCACCGUGAAUAUAAGUUUCAGUCCCUAGUUGCGUGACCUGUAGGUGCCUGAUCUCACUGUCAUCUUCUGUAUUAUCUAUGUUCAAGCUAGUCUCUAAUGCCCAUUCCCAUAGCAUCUAAGUGCGUCUAGAUAAAAGCUGUAAAAGUGCAGUGGAGAGCCUGUGCAUGACAUGAAAUAGCGUAACAGGGGAAAGGAUUAGGACGGAGAUACUGCAUUGAGGGGACAGGUACAGUUUCUGUGCCUAGAGAAAUCUGCGUGCCUAACUCUAUGGAGACUUCAGCCUCCUGGUGCUGC